CUAUGCGCCUUGCCAGCCCGCUCAGGUGUGCCAGCCGCCGCGGUAAUACGGAGGGUGCGAGCGUUAAUCGGAAUUACUGGGCGUAAAGCGCACGCAGGCGGUUUGUUAAGUCAGAUGUGAAAUCCCCGGGCUCAACCUAGGAACUGCAUCUGAUACUGGCAAGCUUGAGUCUCGUAGAGGGGGGUAGAAUUCCAGGUGUAGCGGUGAAAUGCGUAGAGAUCUGGAGGAAUACCGGUGGCGAAGGCGGCCCCCUGGACGAAGACUGACGCUCAGUGCGAAAGCGUGGGAGCAAACAGG
rnacentral:rRNA from 1 species